rnacentral:rRNA from 1 species
GUCAUAUGCUUGUCUCAAAGAUUAAGCCAUGCAUGUCUGAGUACAGACCGAUCUAAGGUGAAACCGCGAAUGGCUCAUUAAAUCAGUCGUAAUCCCUUGGAUAGUGAAAAACCUUCCUCGGAUAACUGUGGAAAAUCCAGAGCUAAUACGUGCGACUGAACUCCGACCUCGGCUCACGCUGAGGGAAGAGUGCAUUUAUUAGAUUCAAAACUGACCGGUGUUGUGCUUUUCUAUUCCUGCGGGGGUACGUUAACGCAAUCGCCGCUUGUCAAACUUGAUGACUCCGGAUAACUUAGCCGAGCGCUCCGGUCUUUUGUGCCGGCGCCGUAUCCUUCGAGUGUCUGCCUUAUCAGCUUUCGAUUGUAGGUUAAACGCCUACAAUGGCUGUAACGGGUAACGGGGAAUCAGGGUUCGAUUCCGGAGAGGGAGCCUGAGAAACGGCUACCACAUCUAAGGAAGGCAGCAGGCACGCAAAUUACCCACUCCCAGCCCGGGGAGGUAGUGACGAAAAAUAACGAUGAGAGACUCUUCCGAGGCCUCUCAAUCGGAAUGAGUCCAUUCUAAAUCCUUGGACGAGGAUCCAUUGGAGGGCAAGUCUGGUGCCAGCAGCCGCGGUAAUUCCAGCUCCAAUAGCGUAUAUUAAAGUUGCUGCGGUUAAAAAGCUCGUAGUUGGAUCUCCUGAAUCCAAUUCGCUGGCGGGUAGCUCUUUGUACACGCGUUUUAUGCGGUCUCUUGGAGGUUUCCCAUGACGUUCGGACCUUUAUCCUUGCUCGGCUCCGAGGUUCGUUUAAGCGAUUUGUCGAUAUUGCCCUUAGAGAUGAUUCGUUCGGUGUUAGAGUCUCGUGGUUCGAUACAAGGUUAGUCGCAAUUCAAAGGGAGUCGAAAGGUUCUUCCGAGAUGAAAGAGGAGUUUUAUAAAGUUCGCCGACGCGUUCCUUGUGAUCUUCACCCUGCUCUCGGUUUCCCUAUCUUCUCCUGCUUCUAAUCCUUACGUUCCUAUAUCGAGAUUUCUUUCAUAUUCCAAACGUUCGUUUCAUUCCAAAGUCUCUUUGGGUUGCCGCCGACUUGUCGUUCGUUCUCUCGUUCUUGUCGAUGUCUCGUUGGAACGGAUUCAUUGGCGUUCUUCCUCGUUUAGACGGUAAGAUGCAGUCUUUGAGUAUAGCCCGUCUUGCGAUUGGUACAAUUAAAAAUUGGUCGGCUCGCUCGGAGUGCUCUUUACCGAGUGUUCCGGGGUGGCCGACACGUUCACUUUGAAAAAAUUAGAGUGCUUAAAGCGGGCCGAAAAGUCGCCUGAAUGUUGUUGCAUGGAAUGAAGGAACAGGACCUCGGUUCUGUUCUUUUUGUCGGUUUUAAUGAACCGAGGUAAUGAUUAAAAGGAACAGACGGUGGCAUUAGUAUUACGACGCUAGAGGUGAAAUUCUUGGACCGUCGUAAGACUAACUACUGCGAAAGCAUUUGCCGAGAAUGUUUUCAUUAAUCAAGAACGAAAGUUAGAGGAUCGAAGGCGAUCAGAUACCGCCCUAGUUCUAACCCUAAACUAUGCUAACUAGCGAUCCGUCGGAGUCAUUCCCACGACCCGGCGGGAAGCCCCAGGGAAACCAAAGUCUUUGAGUUCCGGGGGAAGUAUGGUUGCAAAGCUGAAACUUAAAGGAAUUGACGGAAGGGCACCACCAGGAGUGGACUGCGGCUUAAUUKACUCAACACGGGAAACCUCACCAGGCCCGGACAUCAAAAAGAUUGACAGAUUGAGAGCUCUUUCUCGAUUCGAUGGGUGGUGGUGCAUGGCCGUUCUUAGUUGGUGGAGUGAUCUGUCUGGUUGAUUCCGAUAACGAACGAGACUCUACCCUACUAACUAGUCGGCGGAUCGUAACCCUGAGAUGGGAGAAACCGAAGCGUAGGUGGUUCGGGGGCGAGAUUCUUUGUCUUUAGCUCAUGGUGCAUUGGCUCUAUUUUAGGCUAUAGUGGCGUUUCUGUAUUGCGUUUCUAUUAUCAGUUUACGCUGGUGGUGGGGGUGUUUCCGCAGGGUGUUUACGUGGUCUCUAGGGGUCGGUGUAUCCGUGUGGUUUUAGCUGGUUUCGUUUCCUCACUUAUCGUCUAGGUGACUCUUUUACUGGGGGCGUCCGUCGCAAUGCAUCUUCUUAGAGGGAUCAGCGGCGUCUAGCGCACGAGAAAGAGCAAUAACAGGUCUGUGAUGCCCUUAGAUGUUCUGGGCCGCACGCGCGCUACAAUGUAGGGCUCAGCGUGCUUUCCCUCUCCGAAAGGAGCGGGUAACCCUUUGAAACCCCUACGCGAUUGGGAUUGGGGAUUGCAAAUGUUUCCCAUAAACGAGGAAUUCCCAGUAAGCGCGAGUCAUUAACUCGCGCUGAUUUACGUCCCUGCCCUUUGUACACACCGCCCGUCGCUACUACCGAUUGAAUGAUUUGGUGAAGGCAUCGGACUGGCGCCUUCGGUUGCAACAUACCUUAGGCUGACGGAAAGAUGUCCGAACUGGAUCAUUUAGAGGAAGUAAAAGUCGUAACAAGGUUUCCGUAGGGAACCUGCGGAAGG